AUGCUUGAGAUUUUUAAUGAAUAUCAUUUGAACAAGUACAUUACUAGCCCUUGUGCAUCUCAUGUUGAUCCUUUGCACCCUACCCUAGAUGAAUAUAUUGACAUGAUUCACAAUCUUAGAACUGUUGAGCUCAUCAUUAGAGGCUUGCCUAGAAACUUGAUUAGAUGUUUGCCUACUCUCAAGUAUGCCUACACCAUAUGGAGAUUUCUUGAGGAACGAUUUCCAGAUUAUUCCUUGAAAAAUUUAGACGAAAUUCUUCAUAAGUCUAUUGCCUUGAGUAAGAUGAACUCUAGUGAUCCUAGUUUUGGUGAUUAUCUAUUUGAGCUUACCAAUCUCGUGCGUGCUAAAAGAAAUGUUGGAAUCAUUAGGGAUAUCAUAUCCAAAGCUAUUAGAAUUCAUAAAGAUAACCAUUGUGAUGAUCAUUUAUCUAAUGAAUUACCCUCUUUAGGAAUUGAUCAAUCACAAGAUGAUGUUGAACAUGGAUACUAUGAUGAAGAUGAUGAUAGUGACUAUGAUCUUGAUGAUGCAAUGAGGCAUUUUGGUCUUAUGGCAAAUCUUCGCGACUACAUGGCUGGAGGAAAGGAAUGGGUCCUUGAUAGUGGAUGUACUGAUCAUAUGACCGGAGAUAAAGAUAUGUUCCGUGAGCUUGCUGAAAACGACGGUCCUAAAAAAUAUGUCACUUUUGGUGAUAAUUCAAAGGGUAAGGUGGUUGGCCUUGGUAAGGUGGCCAUCUCACAUGAUAGCUCCAUACAAAAUGUCAUGCUCGUUGAAUCCCUUGGAUACAAUUUACUUUCAGUUUCUAGACUUGCGGAUUUCGGUUUCAAUGUCUUAUUCAUUGAAGUAGAUUGCCAAGUGUUUCGUAGAGACAAUCAUAAAAUGGUCUUUUACCGGUAUACGUAG
rnacentral:rRNA from 1 species